AACAACUACAGAGUCCCCUUAGCAGAGCUGUGGAGUGUGACAAUGGUGUUUGUAUUCACAUAUCAAACGCCAUUAUCACACUAAAUAGCUACUGCUAGGCAACGCUCCCACCGGAUA
rnacentral:pre_miRNA from 15 species